ACCCACAAAGAUAUGAGAAGCAAUAAGAAUCUUGGUUAGUGUUUUUGGAGUCAUAUAUGACUAGAUCUCGUGUUUAUGAUUGGGUAUAAGAACUAGAACAGCAAUCAGAUCCCAAAAGCUAAAGUAGUGUUUUUCUGUUUAGAAGCUCCAAAACCGAAAACUCAUAGGACUUUGGCCACACCCACAAAGAUUUUAGAAGCAAUAAGAAGCUUGGUUAGUGUUUUUGGAGUCAAAUAUGUCUAGAUCUCGCGUUUAUGAUUGGGUAUAAGAUCUAGAACCGCAACCGGAUCUCAUAAGCUAAAGUAGAGUUUUUCCGUUUAAAAGCUUCAAAACCGUAAACUCAUAAGACUUCGGCCACACCCACAAAGAUAUGAGAAGCAAUAAGAAUCUUGGUUAGUGUUUUUGGAGUCAUAUAUGACUAGAUCUCGUGUUUAUGAUUGGGUAUAAGAACUAGAACAGCAAUCGGAUCCCAAAAGCUAAAGUAAUGUUUUUCUGUUUAGAAGCUCCAAAACCGAAAACUCAUAGGACUUUGGCCACACCCACAAAGAUUUUAGAAGCAAUAAGAAGCUUGGUUAGUGUUUUUGGAGUCAAAUAUGACUAGAUCUCGCGUUUAUGAUUGGGUAUAAGAUCUAGAACCGCAACCGGAUCUCAUAAGCUAAAGUAGUGUUUUUCCGUUUAGAAGCUUCAAAACCGAAAACUCAUAAGACUUUGGCCACACCCACAAAGAUAUGAGAAGCAAUAAGAAUCUUGGUUAGUGUUUUUGGAGUCAUAUAUGACUAGAUCUCGUGUUUAUGAUUGGGUAUAAGAACUAGAGCAGCAAUCGGAUCCCAAAAGCUAAAGUAGUGUUUUUCUGUUUAGAAGCUCCAAAACCGAAAACUCAUA
rnacentral:lncRNA from 1 species